UACGUAGGGUGCGAGCGUUAAUCGGAAUUACUGGGCGUAAAGCGUGCGCAGGCGGUUUGGUAAGACAGAUGUGAAAUUCCCGGGCUUAACCUGGGAACUUCAUUUGUGACUGCCAGGCUAGAGUGCGGCAGAGGGGAGUGGAAUUCCGCGUGUAGCAGUGAAAUGCGUAGAUAUGUGGAGGAACACCGAUGGCGAAGGCAACUCACUGGGCCUGCACUGACGCUCAUGCACGAAAGCGUGGGGAGCAAACAGG
rnacentral:rRNA from 1 species